AGAAGGUAGAGGUAGAAGUUAGCAGGAGGAGGAACGGGAGUUUGCUUGGAUUGGCUGGCGCGGCAACGUGCGGAGCGCUGAUUGGUGGCAGGGAAAUGGAAUGAUUCUGCGUGGAUGUGGACUGGCAGGAGCCGGAGCGAGGUACCCCUGAGGCAAUGUUACCCAAAGAUUAUGUGACCAUUCAGAAGUUCCCCCGACCAGUCAGGAAAAAUUGUACACUUUUAAGGGCCUGUGGAGGAAAACCACUGAAGAGCAGAGGGAAGAGAAGGGAGGCACUGACUUCUGGCAAAUACCAGUUCUGCACCAACUAGCUGUGGGACUCUUUCUCAAUCUCCUCAUCUGUAAGGGUGGUAAUAAGGGAUCUUUAAAGUGUCUUACAGCUUUAAAAAUCUAUCAUUUCAACUCUUAUUUGAAUAAAAUCCAAUACAUUUGGAGAAAAUAAAAGGUAUUUUCAGUAUUCCAAGGUAUGACGAAGCUUGUUAAGGACAUUUUAGAUUGUUAAUGUCUUAGAACAGACUUCUUGACAUAAAUUCAAACUGGAUAUUGUUGGAGGAUGUCGUUGAGAGGACAUGACUGCCAAUUGACCUGCAAGCUGGACUUGGGCAAUCGGAGGCUCCUUACACCCUCCCCAUCCUUGGAUUGUACAUUCUGCCCACUGUUCCCAAAGUGGGAGCCAUUUUUAAGGAUGUAUCCUUGAGAGAGCAGUGUGUUAUUGAGACCAUCUGGAUGGCAUACAUGACUGAACCCAGUGAAGGCCUCUGUAUAAACUUUUAAGAUUCUGGUGGGCAAAUAUGGAGAUCUACUCAUCCUGCAGCCACCCAAGACAAGCCUUGUGAUUUCCCCUCUGGAUCUGGGAGCUUUCGUCAGCCAACCAAGGACCAGCUUUCUGAACUUCUUUUCCUUUGGACACAGCACUGGGAUGCAAAAUUCUGAAGAAUUAUGCCUGUUUGCCCACUGGUCAGGAGUACACAUGGUCAUAGACUGAUUAAAACAAGAUUUUCUGCAGAACGUGGCUGAUUUUCCAAAGUGCAGUGACGCAGUUCCUUUUUGCUCCCUAUCCCCACCAUACCCUCUCUGGACUGGAUUCAUGAGAAGACAGUUUUCAGUUGAAGAAACUCAGGCACUUAUGGAAACAACACUGAAUAGAGCUGCUUCCUAUGGCCUUCUCAGGCCAAGUGAUGAUGAGCGUGGGACUGUGGAGUCAGUUCAUCUCCAGUCAAGGCUGUGCUCGAGAAGAGUCUACAAGUAUGGGACAGGGUCCUGGAAGGGUGCCAACAGGGGCUUGCACAGGUCUAUCAGGAGGAAGAAAGUUAAUUAAAAGUCCGGUUAAGUUGGCUCAAAAGAAUAAUAAAUCAAAAAGUUCAUCAGGAGGAGCUGAGUGGGACAUGAUCCAAAGGAUCAAAGUGCGGGUCAGAAACGGGAUGAUUGGAAACAAAGCCAGCUCAGGAACUCACCUUGGGAUUGCUGAGACAAUGCUCUGGCAACAUCUUAUGCACAGGUUGGUGAGCGAAGCUGGAGAGGGCCCUCGUCCUGACAAUACCAGAGCCUGGAUAGAUCCUCAUAAUUUGAUGGGAAGGGAACAGUCUUGAGAGACAGUUUUGCAAGUGCUGGUUUUAGAGCAUUGUUUUCCUGGUUUGUCAAGUGAGAGAUCUGUGUUGAUAAUGUCUAGUGUUUGUGAAUAAUAACAUUCUUUGACACCAUCUGGAUAAGGCACCUAAAGCACUAGGCUCAUGUCUCUCCUAGAACCAGCCAGUCCUCCCUCAACCUUUGCAAAUCUAUCCCUGGUGCUGAUGUUCAGCAUGUGCAUGUGCAUAACAUCUGAGGAGAGCAAACAGCAGGGGCAGAGCCCCAGGACACCCAUCCUUCCUCGGCAGCGGAAGGUACCUCAGUUAGCACCUUCUACAGGAAGGAAACGCCUGUGGAGAG
rnacentral:lncRNA from 1 species